rnacentral:rRNA from 1 species
AACGCGAAGAACCUUACCUGGGCUCGAAAUGCAGGAGACCGGGGUAGAAAUAUCCCUUUCUCGCAAGAGACUGCUGUAUAGGUGCUGCAUGGCUGUCGUCAGCUCGUGUCGUGAGAUGUUGGGUUAAGUCCCGCAACGAGCGCAACCCUUGUCCUGUGUUGCCACUCCCGUAAGGGAAGCACUCUCAGGAGACCGCCAGCGAUAAGUUGGAGGAAGGUGGUGAUGAUGUCAAGUCAUCAUGGCCUUUAUGUCCAGGGCUACACACGUGCUACAAUGGACGGUACAAAGCGCUGCAAACCCGCGAGGGGGAGCCAAUCGCAAAAAACCGUUCUCAGUUCGGAUCGCAGGCUGCAACUCGCCUGCGUGAAGCUGGAAUCGCUAGUAAUGGCGUAUUCAGAACGAUGCCGUGAAUACGUUCCCGGGCCUUGUACACACCGACGCGUA